rnacentral:lncRNA from 1 species
UGGUAGCAGGUCUGGAACUGUUCAGGCUGAGGAAUGGCCAGUGCCUGGAUUUCUGAAUAUUAGGAAGAGCAGGAUGCAUUGAGUCCCACUUUGCAGCAGAGACUUGUGAGCAAACACCAGCCCCUGGGGGAGAAGUGUGGUCCUGUUUACUUGCUGCCAUAACUGCUUCACUGAAGACAAUUUUAAGCUUCCUAGGAAAGUUCAUUAAAAGGUCUCUGUGAAUGUACAAGGGAGUGUAAACACGUUGCCCACAGCAACUUCAACACGUGGCAUGGGAACUGCUGCCCUGAAGGCACCGCUUCACCUGCUCACUGCUCCGCCAGCAGC